rnacentral:rRNA from 1 species
AUGAACGCUGGCGGCGUGCCUCAUACAUGCAAGUCGCGCGAACAGACGAGGAGCUUGCUCCUUCGACGUUAGCGGCGGACGGGUGAGUAACACGUAGGUAACCUACCUAUAAGACUGGGAUAACUUCGGGAAACCGGAGCUAAUACCGGAUAAUAUUUCGAACCGCAUGGUUCGAUAGUGAAAGAUGGCUUUGCUAUCACUUAUAGAUGGACCUGCGCCGUAUUAGCUAGUUGGUAAGGUAACGGCUUACCAAGGCAACGAUACGUAGCCGACCUGAGAGGGUGAUCGGCCACACUGGAACUGAGACACGGUCCAGACUCCUACGGGAGGCAGCAGUAGGGAAUCUUCCGCAAUGGGCGAAAGCCUGACGGAGCAACGCCGCGUGAGUGAUGAAGGUCUUCGGAUCGUAAAACUCUGUUAUUAGGGAAGAACAAACGUGUAAGUAACUGUGCACGUCUUGACGGUACCUAAUCAGAAAGCCACGGCUAACUACGUG